UCCGGGAAGGUUGAUGUGCGGUUGAGGUCCACCAGCCACCGUCCGCGAAGAACCGGUUCUUCGCCGUUAGCCAGCGAACGAGGAAGCAAAUUAAAGGCCGUUUCUGCCCCCGUCACCCCAGUUUUGACAGUUGAGCUGCUCACGUCUUUCCCGGUCUUGAAAGCCGCUGUGUACACCGGGCACUGAGAACGGUACCUGGCCCGUUCACACGAAUACCUGGACGGACGCAGACGCCAGCCCCGGUCGUGAUCUUAGGGUCCGGAGAUGGAGUCCUGCCAGCUUAACUGCGGCAAAUCGUUUACGAUUAUGAUAUAAGGCUGUUUAAAGGUCAAAGAAAAAGAUUCACACAUGUUAUACACAAGGACAAUUUUAAUCCUCCAUUAUCCUGCAGUAACAUCCACUGCUGGCUUUAUAUGGAUUAAAACUGCAUUUGCCAAGAACUGUGAACACUGAGAAUCUUU